rnacentral:rRNA from 1 species
CAGUAGCCGCGGGAAUACGAAGGGUGCAAGCGUUAAUCGGAAUUACUGGGCGUAAAGCGCGCGUAGGUGGUUCGCCAAGUCGGAUGUGAAAUCCCCGGGCUCAACCUGGGAACUGCAUCCAAAACUGGCGAGCUAGAGUAUGGUAGAGGGUGGUGGAAUUUCCUGUGUAGCGGUGAAAUGCGUAGAUAUAGGAAGGAACAUCAGUGGCGAAGGCGACCACCUGGACUGAUACUGACACUGAGGUGCGAAAGCGUGGGGAGCAAACAGGAUUAGAUACCCCAGUAGUCCCUGUCUCUUAUAC